rnacentral:rRNA from 1 species
CCUACGGGUGGCAGCAGUAGGGAAUCUUCCACAAUGGACGAAAGUCUGAUGGAGCAACGCCGCGUGAGUGAAGACGGGUUUCGGAUCGUAAACCUCUGUUGGUAGUGAAGAAAGUUAGAGGUAGUAACUAGCCUUUAUUUGACGGUAAUUACUUAGAAAGUCACGGCUAACUACGUGCCAGAAGCCGCGGUAAUAUGUAGGUGGCAAGCGUUGUCCGGAUUUGUUGGGCGUAAAGCGAGUGCAAGCGGUGCAAUAAGUCUGAUGGGAAAGCCUUCGGCUCAACCGGUGAAUUGCAUAAGAAACUGUUGAACUUGAGUGCAGAAGAGGAGAGUGGAACUCCAUGUGUAGCGGUGGAAUGCGUAGAUAUAAGGAAGAACACCAGUGGCGAAGGCGGCCCUCUGGUCUGCAACUGACGCUGAGGCUCGAAAGCAUGGGUAGCGAACAGGAUUAGAUACCCUUGUAGUC